rnacentral:rRNA from 1 species
GAUGAACGCUGGCGGCGUGCCUAAUACAUGCAAGUCGAGCGAACGGACGAGAAGCUUGCUUCUCUGAUGUUAGCGGCGGACGGGUGAGUAACACGUGGAUAACCUACCUAUAAGACUGGGAUAACUUCGGGAAACCGGAGCUAAUACCGGAUAAUAUUUUGAACCGCAUGGUUCAAAAGUGAAAGACGGUCUUGCUGUCACUUAUAGAUGGAUCCGCGCUGCAUUAGCUAGUUGGUAAGGUAACGGCUUACCAAGGCAACGAUGCAUAGCCGACCUGAGAGGGUGAUCGGCCACACUGGAACUGAGACACGGUCCAAACUCCUACGGGAGGCAGCAGUAGGGAAUCUUCCGCAAUGGGCGAAAGCCUGAUGGAGCAACGCCGCGUGAGUGAUGAAGGUCUUCGGAUCGUAAAACUCUGUUAUUAGGGAAGAACAUAUGUGUAAGUAACUGUGUACAUCUUGACGGUACCUAAUCAGAAAGCCACGGCUAACUACGUG